UACGCAGGUGGCAAGCGUUGUCCGGAAUUAUUGGGCGUAAAGCGCGCGCAGGCGGUCUUUUAAGUCUGAUGUGAAAGCCCCCGGCUCAACCGGGGAGGGCCAUUGGAAACUGGGAGACUUGAGUACAGAAGGGGAGAGUGGAAUUCCACGUGUAGCGGUGAAAUGCGUAGAUAUGUGGAGGAACACCAGUGGCGAAGGCGACUCUCUGGUCUGUAACUGACGCUGAGGCGCGAAAGCGUGGGGAGCAAACAGG
rnacentral:rRNA from 1 species